GAUGAAGAACGUAGCGAAAUGCGAUAAGUAGUGUGAAUUGCAGAAUUCAGUGAAUCAUCGAAUCUUUGAACGCACAUUGCGCCCUUUGGUAUUCCUUAGGGCAUGCCUGUUCGAGCGUCAUUUAAACCUUCAAGCUCAGCUUGGUGUUGGGUGACUGUCCGCUUCACCGCGGACUCGCCUCAAAAUUAUUGGCGGCCGGUACAUUGGCUCUCGAGCGCAGCAGAAACGCGUAACUCGAGGUCCUCGUGCUGGCUCCCAGAAGCUAUCUUCACAAUUUUGACCUCGGAUCAGGUAGGGAUACCCGCUGAGCUUAAGCAUAUCAAUAAGCGGAGGA
rnacentral:misc_RNA from 1 species